rnacentral:rRNA from 1 species
AGAGUUUGAUCAUGGCUCAGAGCGAACGCUGGCGGCAGGCCUAACACAUGCAAGUCGAACGGACCCUUCGGGGUUAGUGGCGGACGAGUGAGUAACACGUGGGAACGUGCCUUUAGGUUCGGAAUAGCUCCUGGAAACGGGUGGUAAUGCCGAAUGUGCCCUUCGGGGGAAAGAUUUAUCGCCUUUAGAGCGGCCCGCGUCUGAUUAGCUUGUUGGUGGGGUAAUGGCCCACCAAGGCUACGAUCAGUAGCUGGUCUGAGAGGAUGACCAGCCACAUUGGGACUGAGACACGGCCCAAACUCCUACGGGAGGCAGCAGUGGGGAAUCUUGCGCAAUGGGCGAAAGCCUGACGCAGCCAUGCCGCGUGUAUGAUGAAGGUCUUAGGAUUGUAAAAUACUUUCACCGGUGAAGAUAAUGACUGUAGCCGGAGAAGAAGCCCCGGCUAACUUCGUGCCAGCAGCCGCGGUAAUACGAAGGGGGCUAGCGUUGCUCGGAAUUACUGGGCGUAAAGGGAGCGUAGGCGGACAUUUAAGUCAGAGGUGAAAUCCCGGAGCUUAACUUCGGAACUGCCUUUGAUACUGGGUGUCUUGAGUGUGAGAGAGGUAUGUGGGACUCCGAGUGUAGAGGUGAAAUUCGUAGAUAUUCGGAAGAACACCAGUGGCGAAGGCGACAUACUGGCUCAUUACUGACGCUGAGGCUCGAAAGCGUGGGGAGCAAACCAGGAUUAGAUACCCUGGUAGUCCACGCCGUAAACCGAUGAUUGCUAGUUGUCGGAAAGCUUGCUUUUCGGUGACGCAGCUAACCGCAUAAGCAUUCCGCCUGGA